GACGAACGCUGGCGGCGUGCCUAAUACAUGCAAGUCGAACGCAGUGGGGACGGGUGAGUAACACGUGGGUAACCUCCCAUCAGAGGGGAUAACACUUGGAAACAGGUGCUAAACCGAUACUGAUGGAUGGACCCGCGGUGCAUUAGCUAGUUGGUGAUGUAACGGCUCACCAAGGCCACGAUGCAUAGCCGACGUGAGGUGAUGAGCAGCAACACUGUGACUUAGACACGGCCCAGACUCCUACGGGAGGCAGCAGUGGGGAAUAUUGCACAAGGGGCGCAAGCCUGAUGCAGCCAUGCCGCGUGUAUGAAGAAGGCCUUCGGGUUGUAAAGUACUUUCAGUCGGGAGGCGUUACCGACAGAAGAAGCACCGGCUAACUCCGUGCCAGCAGCCGCGGUAAUAC
rnacentral:rRNA from 1 species